CAAUCUCCUACCGUGAAUAAUAAGGGGAGGCUUUCGGUGUCCAAUUUUGGUCCCAAUUUUCCAAUUGGGUCCCUCCCAACCUCCCGGCCGCGUGGUUAGCCCGUGGGUGGUUUGGUCAAUUCGUUGGGUUCUAUCUUCGUAAUUAGGAGUGUUUUGGGGGGCGAUUGAGACGCUGCCUUUUUAUCAUUCCUGUGGGAGUACACGUGGUUUUCUCCCAUCCAAGUAUUUUUCCUACUUUACUUUGCUGCACUCUCCCUCCCUCCCGAAAAUUCUCACCGCCUGUCUACUGCCAUUCUUCUUCAGUAGGCAGCGCUCUCUCACCUCUCUCUCUUUUCUCUCUCUCAACACCAUUAAACGAUUGAAAGCAUAAACCGCGAUUGGUGCAGUACACGGGAACAUAGGGCGGCUUCGGUCGCGAGAUUUGAGGCCAGAAAACACCGUCAUGGGACAGAUCCUGAAGCAAGACGAGGAACUGAGGCUGCCGCCGACGGAUUUGGUUCUUGGCCCCACGGCUCGGUUGGGACUCGACCCGGACACAGUCCAGAAGCAGAUUAGGGUUUCAGAUUCCAAUCUCUACACGGCCCGACGGUUUUUUGGGCCUCGCUACCGCUGAGUUCGCUUCUGUUCCGGACUUUCUUCCAUUCACUUGAAUCUUCCCGUGUUUUCUGACCCUUCAGCGAUGGAAGUGGGAUGCAUGAGGUUCAGAUGGUUGGUAAAUAUCCACUUUACUCAGACAAGUUUGUCUUCUUCUUUUUUUUGGUGUGGGUUGAUUGAAUCUAUUUGUGCAUGUGUGUUGUUGUUCUAAGAAUAAAUAAAUGUGGGUGUGCGUUUACACAAACUGCUUGUUUUGGUUAAAAGCAAUAGACUGUUAGUCCGUUAUAGUAUCCACAUACAAAUACAGAUUUAGGUUCUGCCUGAGCAAUUGACUGUUAGUCAGCCACACACACAAUUCAGAUUGUUGGUCCUAGAGCCACACGCACAAUUUAAACUGUUGGAUGCGGCAUUCGGAGGAAAAUGGUGUGGUACGCCUGUUUCGUUGUACCUAAGAUUCAACACAGCGUUGGACGGAAAACUUUUGCGAGGUACCCUUGCGUGAUUGUGCAUUAGGGAAACAGACGAAAAGAAAACAAGUGAUCCAUAGGCCCUGUUUGUUGGCUUACUGAGUAUUUUUUCACGGUUAUAUUUAUUUUCCCUUCCCCCCAUUGGUGAAUAUUAUCUUUUGGAGGGAUUUUUGUUGUACUACUGUGGCCUUGUCGAACGGUGAUGAUUUGACUUAAUUGUUUGGCAUGCUGUUACCUUUCUGAAGCAAUGGAUGAUGAUGAAUUAGUUAGUUUUUGGAAGAAAUGUAAAUAUUGGAAAAUAAUCUUGAUUUUCUCAAAUGAUAAAUGUGUUUGCGAGUUUAUCUUUCUUUUCUUUUCUUUAAUCCAUGCGACAUGUUUUAAUAGUAAGACUUGAACUCUGGUACCACACUCGCUAACAGAGUACAUUUGGCAUCAUGUUUAUAUGGUGCCUGCAUUUUCUAAAGGUGAAACAGAUUAUGAAUAUGAACUUAUUCCCAACAAUCUAAAAGUUAGAACCUUUUGAUUUCAGGUUACCUUGCAUCAUAUAACUAUACAAUAUAGCUUGGUGGUAUAUGAAAUUGACUUAUUAUUUAUGGUCUCAAUAUCAUACUAAACGUGAUGAAAUUUUAAAGGAUGAAGGAUAAACUGAUACAGAGCUAAAAGAAAAGAAGUUGAGAGUAGAGGAUGCUUUCAAUGCAACGAAGCUGUUGAGGAAGGUAUUGUUCGUGGUGGUGGAUGCACCAUACUUAGGCUUGUAUCAAAAGUUGAUGCCAUCAAGGAUAGCCUUGAGAAUGACGAGGAAAAGGGCUGCAGGUUGGAGCAGAUAUAGUUAAGUGAGCUUUGGGUUACCCCCUGAACUUGAUUGCAAGAAUGCUGGUGUUGAUGGAAGUGGUGUUAGUGAGAAGGUUCCUUUCCAAUGAUAACCCAAAAUUUCGAUCCAAUGCUGGAACGGGAGAAUACGAGGAUUUAAUGGCUGCCGGAAUAAUUGAUCCAACCAAGUAAGGGAGCAAAGGAAGAACAAGUUAAUGGCAAAUAGUCAAACGCAUUGUUGCCGAGCAAAAGCAUUUGUUAUGCCAGUGAUGGGUGAAUUUGCCACAAUGUGCCAGUCUAAACAGGUAUAUU